rnacentral:lncRNA from 1 species
UGUUGGGGAUAAAAACAGAAUCACGGGUUAUUUAAGCGUGUUCCGAAUUUGAUUUGUGGUUUAAUGUAUUUCUCUGUUGUCCGGUAUAACGGUAAAUUCAUUUGUCAUUUUUUGUGUGGAUUAUAAUUACUUUCACCACGUGCUUGCCAAAUUUAAAUGAAUUAGCCACGGAAGGUAGGUUUACAUAAGAAUCUUGUUCUCAUAAUGUAUUAAGCAUAAUUUGCAUAUCUUACAUGUCUUAUGUAUAAUAUAAAGUUACAGUAUAUAGAUUUAAGGAAAAAGUACAUUUGUACUUUCACUUUCAAAACUCAUUGAAAAAAAACCCAUCUAUCAAACAAUUGAAGUACAAGGAGCUCUGUAAAAUACAUAAAAUAUUGCAAUACUGACAAUAAUGCUGUCAAAUAUAAGAAUAUAUCUUUUCUAGUAUCCCUUUACCUUCAAUAUUAAUAUAUUUUUUUGUAAUAAUAAUCCUAUUUUAAAUUCUGACCUAAAAACAUUGUAUAUGUUGAUAUUUUGUGUUCUAUAUUCUGACAAAUAAUGUAUUUUGUGAAUAGUAAAUACAAUAACUGUAAGUAGAAAGUUUAUUUCAUAAUAAUGUUCAUCAUUAAUUUUAUAUCCCCAGAUUAAAUUUUUUUCAGUGAGAAUGUGUCUACCAAUCUUAACUAAUUCAAGUAUCUUAUAUAUUUCUCCCCAAAACUCAUCUAAAAAGUGGCAUGUUACAAAAAAAUGUUUAUAGUCUUCUGUAACGUUACAAAAAUUACAAGUAGAGUUAUGGCUUAUUUUCCAUUGUUUUAAUAAGACUUUGUUUGGAAGAAUAAAGUGUAAUAAUUUCCAUCUGCACAUUUUCAGUUUAUUAUCUUUUAAGUAAUUAUGAAUAAAUUUUUGCACAUAUUGAGCUUCAAUUUGUAUGUUUUCACAUUUCAAAAUUCUAUUCCACUUAUGAUAUCCUAUUGGAACUUCUUUAUCAUAUUCUAUUAAAAUUGAAUAAAUUUUCUUUGAAUCUAAUUUUUCUAGUUUAUGUUGGCAAUUAUUUUUUUCACUUAUAUAUAGUGAGUUAUUUAUUAAAACACUAGUUUUUAUUGAACAUUCUUCAUUUAAUAUUUUUAACCAUUCUUUUGGAAUUGCUUUUUCUCAAUCUUGAGAAUUCAGCUAUCCAGUUUGAUUUAUUUUUUAACUUUAAACUUAUAAUUUUUUCUGAAAAAACUCCAUUUUCAUCAAUGAUAUCAUUUAUAUGAAUGAUAUUACUGUCUAUCCAAUUUUGAAAAAGGAGUGUUUUCUUUUGAAAUUUAAUUAAUUGAUUUCCCCAAAUAACUUCUUGACGGAUAAGUCUGUAAUUAUUUGGAUUUUUAGUUUUAUUAUUUUUAUUUUUUAACCAUACUUUAAUCAUAUCAAGAUAAAAUUCUGGUAGCUCUUUAGUACCCGGUAUAGAAUAUAUAUUAUUAGUAUUCAUCCUUAAGAUAAGUAGAUUGCUACCAAAUUUAUUAAGAUAAAACUUUGGUAUAACCAUCCAAUUAAGAAAUUUAUCAGCAGUUAAUCUUUUUAUCCAACCUAUCUUUAUAGAUUCUAUAUAUUUAUCUAUAUUUACCAUUUUUAAUCCACCAGCUAGUUGGUUAUAGCUUAAUACGGUGCGUUUAACUUUUUCUGUCUUAUUGUUCCAUAAAAAUUCAUAUAUGAUUUUUUUAAAUUUGUCCAAGUAUUCUUUGCUUAAGGUUGACACUGUAGCCAAAUAAGUGAUUAUAGGAAUAAUAAUUAAAGAUUUAAUAACUGUUAUUCUUCCUAUCAUGGUUAAGUUUCUUUUUUUCCAGUUUGAUAUAAUUUUUUUACAGUCUUUUCUAGCUGUUUAUCAAAAUUUAGUUUUUGACACUCUUUUUUAUUAUGCCCAAAAUAUAUCCCGAGACUCUUAAUUGGUUUUUCUGUAAAGUUAAUAUUUUCAUAUUUUUCUUUACAAUGUUUUUGCUUCCCUAGCCAAAUACCCUCUGUUUUAGAUCUGUUAAGUUUUAAUCCUGAAAGUGAUCCAAAUUUUUCAAUCAUGUUAAGAGCUUUUGAAUAUUCUUGUUUUGAUUUGAGAAAAAGAGUAGUGUCAUCUGCUAAUUGACUUAUUUUUAAAGUGUGGGUUUUUCCAUCUAUCUUGAUUUCAAAUCCUUUUAGGUUAUGGUCUUGCCUAAUUUUACAAGCAAGAUCUCAACAGCAAUAACAAAAAUUAUCGCACUGCAAGGGCAGCCUUGACGUAUACCACGAUAUAUACUCAUGGGUUUAGAGAUCCACCCAUUGUUUAAAACUGAACUUUUUAUGUCAGUGUAUAAAAGUUUUAUCCAUCUCAUCAUAGAAUUUUUAAAUCCAAAUUUUUGUAAAGCAAAGAACAUAAAGUCCCAUUCUAAUGAAUCAAAUGCUUUCGAAAAAUCUAAAAAUAAUAAGGCACCCUCUAUAUUAAAUUUAUCUGCAUAAUCUAUGACAUCUUGAAUUUGUCUAAUAUUAUAUCCUAUGUAUCUGUUUUUAACAUACCCAUUUUGGUCUCCAUGAAUAAUUUGUGGUAAUACUUUAAUUAUCCUUUGAGCAAGUGAAUAAGCAACUAAUUUUGUGUCAACAUUCAAUAAUGUUAUAGGUCUAUAAUUGUCUAAACUGAGAGGAUCAUUUUUUUUAUGUAAAAGGGAAAUAACUCCUAAUUUUUGUGAAUUUGUUAACUCCCCUUUAUCAAAUGAAAGAUUAAAAGUUUUGACUGCAAACUCUUUAAGAUGUUCCCAAAAAGUUCUAUAAAAUUCGACACUUAACCCAUCAAUUCCAGGGGCUUUAUUAAGUUUCAUUUUAAAUAAAGAAUCUGUGCAUUCUUUGAGUGCUUAAUAAACCUUCCAUACUAUCGCUUUCUUUAUCUGUUAGGACAUGAUCACAUUCUGUAUUCAUAACAUAAUCUUUAAUAGAAUUUUUAUCGGGAUUUGAACUUUUAUAGAUUUCUUCAUAAAACUCUUUUUCAAUAUUAAGUAUUUCUGUAGGAUGUGUAUGUAUCACCCCUUCUUUGUCUCUGAGCGCUGUAAUGGUUUUUCUUGUUUGCCUAGCUUUUUCUAGUCCCAAGAAGAAUUUAGUGUUUUUUUUUUUUGCCUUCUUCUACCCAUUUAAUUCUGGAUCUUAUUUGUGCUCCUUUUGUUUUUGAAUCAUAUAAUUUACCAAGUUUUUCUUCUAUAAUAUUAAUUUCCUCUUUAAGAGAGUUAAUAUCAUCUAUUUUACAUUUUUUGUUUAUACCCUCAUUUAAUUUCUUCAAUUUGUUUUCUAAAAUAUGUAUAUCUUUAACAUUAUUUUGUGCUUUUCUUUUACAGAAUGCUAUGGUAUGGUCUCUUACCUCGGUUUUAAAAAGAUCCCACUUGACCCCAAUAUCAUUGGUGAGUAAAAUUUUCUUUUCAUAUAUUGUUUGAUCAG